rnacentral:lncRNA from 1 species
AUUUAGUGAUUGCUGCGGGAAGGAUCUGUUGUUCCUGCAGUGAAGAAGCACUGCUGAUGUGUGACAUUCACAGAAAUCCCACAGGAAACAGACAGGAAGAAGCAAGUCCCAUCUCCCUCCUCCAGCCUUGCAGCUGCCUGACUGUGCUUAUGAGCAGAGCCUUACCUUGAGGCAACAAGUAAAGCAGAGACGUGGAGUGAAGAACCCCAGCUCUAACCUCAGACAGCAGAGAAUAGAAGGUUCUAAUACCCACCUGCGUUACUUGAUUCUAAAGCCCACCUGCAUUCCUUCAUCUUCAAGCCAGUAACAGCAGGUAGAGCUCCCAUAGCACAUCAACCUGACCGUUCCUCUGCCUCGCUCUUCC